CUCACAUAUGAAAUGAUCUCCAGCCACGUCCCCUAGCUUCUGGUUUAUCAUCCCAAUGCUUCUCCCGAGCUUUCACAGAUGCUAGAAAUCACUAGAUUAUACUGUUCUUGUGUUCUGAUUUUUCAUUGUUGUCAAUACCAGCGUGGAAACUUUAGGUAGUGGUCAAGAGUUAAGACCUUGGAGUCAGACAGCCUUGGCUUGAGCCCUAUUUUACCAUUUACAAGCCUGGAUUCCCAAACUCUCUGAGCCUCAGUUCCUUCUCUGUAAGUUGAGGACAAUAAUACUUAUCACCCUGGGUUGUUUUGAUUAUUAAGUGAAUUAAUUUUUGGAAGUACUUAGAAAAGUCUCCGGGAUCUGGUGAAUACUCAAUAUGAUAAGCCGAUAUUACCCUAACACAGUGUUUCUCAACCGGGAUGGAUGAGGGUCAAUUUUGCCCUUGAGCGGACACUUGGCAAAAUCUGAAGACAAUUUCAGGUGUCACGGCUGGGGGAGAGGGGGAGGGGUGUCACUGGCGCCCAGUGAAUAGAAGACUGGGACGCUGACACAGGAUGAAACCCCCCAACUAAGAUUUAUGUGGCCAAAAAUACCAGUAAUGCUAACAUUUGGUCACAAAGUGACUCAUUUCUGCAGAAUAUUAAAAUAAAUAAAAUAAUAAUAAUUUCAACAAAUACAGAUGGUUUUCAUAAAAUUUUAACUCAACAAAAAGUAACUACCUAAUAAAAACAUAAUGAUUCCCUUUUCUUGACUCAUUUGUUUAUUUAUAUUAAAGAAGAUACUUUAACCGCCCCCCCCCCCAAUCUGACAAGAGUCACUGACAGAUCCUCCCUGUGUCUUUCAGACUGCACCGGCAUGAGAAUAUUAUUCUGAAUAUCUCCUUUAUUAAAAAUAGGACCCAAAUCCUUCUUCUUAGAAAAGUAACUUUGCAAACAGUUGGUUGCACAGAAUUUGCUUCAAAUGCGCUUCAAAUGCGCUUCCAGAAUUCUCAUCCAAAAAGUUGGUCGCACAGAAUUCGCUUCAACGUCAGAGGGAGACGUAUGUGUGGAAUAAAGAACAGGGGAAAUCUAAUGCUCAGUGAGAGUGCAACAAAUUUCCACCAUGUCAAGAAACAGAGAUGAUACAGUCCUGGAAUCCUCCUCCCAAAGUGUCUCCAGAAGAUCGUUCUUUACAAGGAAACACUCCGCAUAUCGGGACAGAGGACCGAGCAGAGCUCUGUGAAGGGUAGAGUCGAGUGCAGAUCCGUAAGGACUCUACACAGGUCAAGAAGAACGAAGGCAGACCUGACUGCCUGCUGAAGCGGUCACCUGGCAAGGGCACGUGAAGGUGGCAUACCACGGGGUGAGGGAAGCUCUGGAACCAGGCAUUGACUCUGACCCACAAGCCCCCGACUUUGAAUAGGAAGACCAAGUACAAAGACGUAAGAAAUGAGAUGCUACUCACGAUCUCUAUGGCUUUCUUGUGCCACACUGGACACUGAUGUCUUGCGGUUGGAAAAGUUGUAAAAACGGUGGGCAGUGAAAUUUUUGAUCUUUCAACCAAGAAAUUACAAAAUAUUUUCACGGAUUAUACAAUGAUAAAAAUCUCAGAAUGGCAAUUAAAUUCAAUGGGAACUCAUGCAACUGUCAGGAAUGUUUUUGUUUGUAAAUCCCGUCC
ensembl:lncRNA